rnacentral:rRNA from 1 species
CGCGGCCUAUCAGCUUGUUGGUGAGGUAAUGGCUCACCAAGGCGACGACGGGUAGCCGGCCUGAGAGGGCGACCGGCCACACUGGGACUGAGACACGGCCCAGACUCCUACGGGAGGCAGCAGUGGGGAAUAUUACACAAUGGGCGAAAGCCUGAUGCAGCGGCGCCGCGUGAGGGAUGACGGCCUUCGGGUUGUAAACCUCUUUCAGCAGGGAAGAAGCGAAAGUGACGGUACCUGCAGAAGAAGCGCCGGCUAACUACGUGCCAGCAGCCGCGGUAAUACGUAGGGCGCAAGCGUUGUCCGGAAUUAUUGGGCGUAAAGAGCUCGUAGGCGGCUUGUCACGUCGGGUGUGAAAGCCCGGGGCUUAACCCCGGGUCUGCAUUCGAUACGGGCUAGCUAGAGUGUGGUAGGGGAGAUCGGAAUUCCUGGUGUAGCGGUGAAAUGCGCAGAUAUCAGGAGGAACACCGGUGGCGAAGGCGGAUCUCUGGGCCAUUACUGACGCUGAGGAGCGAAAGCGUGGGGAGCGAACAGGAUUAGAUACCCUGGUAGUCCACGCCGUAAACGGUGGGAACUAGGUGUUGGCGACAUUCCACGUCGUCGGUGCCGCAGCUAACGCAUUAAGUUCCCCGCCUGGGGAGUACGGA